rnacentral:rRNA from 1 species
GUGGGGAAUUUUGGACAAUGGGCGCAAGCCUGAUCCAGCAAUGCCGCGUGCAGGAAGAAGGCCUUCGGGUUGUAAACUGCUUUUGUACGGAACGAAACGGUCCUGGUUAAUACCUGGGGCUAAUGACGGUACCGUAAGAAUAAGCACCGGCUAACUACGUGCCAGCAGCCGCGGUAAUACGUAGGGUGCGAGCGUUAAUCGGAAUUACUGGGCGUAAAGCGUGCGCAGGCGGUGCUGUAAGACAGGCGUGAAAUCCCCGGGCUCAACCUGGGAAUUGCGCUUGUGACUGCAGUGCUGGAGUACGGCAGAGGGGGAUGGAAUUCCGCGUGUAGCAGUGAAAUGCGUAGAUAUGCGGAGGAACACCGAUGGCGAAGGCAAUCCCCUGGGCCUGCACUGACGCUCAUGCACGAAAGCGUGGGGAGCAAACAGGAUUAGAUACCCCUGUAGUCC